rnacentral:rRNA from 1 species
GACGAACCGUGCGAACGUUGUUCGGAAUCACUGGGCUUAAAGGGUGCGUAGGCGGGCGCGUCAGUCAGGGGUGAAAUCCCACGGCCCAACCGUGGAAGUGCCUCUGAUACUGCACGCCUGGAGGGGGAUAGGGGCGUGCGGAACUUCCGGUGGAGCGGUGAAAUGCGUAGAUAUCGGAAGGAACACCGGUGGCGAAAGCGGCGCGCUGGAUCCCUACUGACGCUGAGGCACGAAAGCCAGGGGGGCAAACGGG